AGACCCGAAACCCGGUGAUCUAGCCAUGGGCAGGUUGAAGGUUGGGUAACACUAACUGGAGGACCGAACCGACUAAUGUUGAAAAAUUAGCGGAUGACCUGUGGCUGGGGGUGAAAGGCCAAUCAAACCGGGAGAUAGCUGGUUCUCCCCGAAAGCUAUUUAGGUAGCGCCUCGUGAAUUCAUCUCCGGGGGUAGAGCACUGUUUCGGCUAGGGGGUCAUCCCGACUUACCAACCCGAUGCAAACUGCGAAUACCGGAGAAUGUUAUCACGGGAGACACACGGCGGGUGCUAACGUCCGUCGUGAAGAGGGAAACAACCCAGACCGCCAGCUAAGGUCCCAAAGUCAUGGUUAAGUGGGAAACGAUGUGGGAAGGCCCAGACAGCCAGGAUGUUGGCUUAGAAGCAGCCAUCAUUUAAAGAAAGCGUAAUAGCUCACUGGUCGAGUCGGCCUGCGCGGAAGAUGUAACGGGGCUAAACCAUGCACCGAAGCUGCGGCAGCGACACUCAGGUGUUGUUGGGUAGGGGAGCGUUCUGUAAGCCUGCGAAGGUGGCCUGUGAGGGUUGCUGGAGGUAUCAGAAGUGCGAAUGCUGACAUAAGUAACGAUAAAGCGGGUGAAAAGCCCGCUCGCCGGAAGACCAAGGGUUCCUGUCCAACGUUAAUCGGGGCAGGGUGAGUCGACCCCUAAGGCGAGGCCGAAAGGCGUAGUCGAUGGGAAACGGGUUAAUAUUCCCGUACUUGGUGUUACUGCGAAGGGGGGACGGAGAAGGCUAUGUUGGCCGGGCGACGGUUGUCCCGGUUUAAGCGUGUAGGUGUGUGUUCCAGGUAAAUCCGGUUCACUUUAACACUGAGGCGUGAUGACGAGGCACUACGGUGCUGAAGCAACAAAUGCCCUGCUUCCAGGAAAAGCCUCUAAGCAUCAGGUAACAUCAAAUCGUACCCCAAACCGACACAGGUGGUCAGGUAGAGAAUACCAAGGCGCUUGAGAGAACUCGGGUGAAGGAACUAGGCAAAAUGGUGCCGUAACUUCGGGAGAAGGCACGCUGACACGUAGGUGAAGUGAUUUACUCAUGGAGCUGAAGUCAGUCGAAGAUA
rnacentral:rRNA from 1 species